AUGCAAUUAAAUGAUUAAUGGAUUUUAAAUAUGAUUCAUCUAGAAUUGCACAAGUCUUAAAGACUAUGAGACAGAUUAUUCUUUUCUCCCCAGAAGACUUAUGUGCUAUGCAGUGUAUUUUAAUGCUAAUACUCUGUUUUCUGAUCAGUUGAUUUAUACAAAAAAACAUGAUCUAUAAGAAAAACAGAGCUCCUUCCAAACAAGGAGACUGACUUAACAGAUGAAUUUAGCUGCCCACAACUCCUCACCAUUACAGCCUUCAAAGUACAUCUCAUUCCUGGGCACUGGUGCUUCCUCCGACAAGCCCCUCAGGCUCUCCCUCAUAGCACUGAGACCCCACAAAUUUCUCUUGCCAGGGAGACCAAUCCCCUUCUCACUCCUUAAGUAGGCCCUUCUUGGGCCCUUCUGUUGUAUACAUACGGAGUAGUCACAUAAGCUAAGCCUUAUUGGUCCAAACCUGAAAUGCUGAAACAAAACUUAGAUUCUACAUCAUUUUGGCAUCAGCAAUGCUGCUUUGAGGCCCUACCCUGUCAGUCUGCAUGAAUCCUGUUUGGCAUAUUACUCUACCACCUUAGAUAUCUGAGCCUGCAUAUUCCUUAAGAAGAUCUAUGGUUGGACUCACCUGAAAAUCAUGUUAAAAUAUUAAAGUGUAAUACAAUCAGGGGUAAAAAUGAAUUUAUAUUCAAGACCAAUGAGGAAAUAUCUGGACCAUCCAACCUUUAGUCUCCAGAUGUUGUUUAGUAAAUAGAAUGUGAAAUACUUAGUGAGUUUAACAUAUGCAUGCCUCCAGUUAAUGUUAUUUUUCAUAAUUUUCUUUCAUUUUGCUUUGUGUUGCACCCUCAGAAAAUGUUGAAAUACAUCCCCAGUACUGAGAGUUCAAGGUGUGAAUGGCAGUUAAUAAGUAAGAAUCUUGAACUUUUACACAAAUCACUCCCAUUUCUGACUGCUAAAAUACAUGGCCCAAUACUGAAUAGAGCAGUCCAAGCCAUAACAAGCCUUAGACACAAAAAGAUCAAAUUCUUGGCAGUGAAGAGUGAGCCAAUGGCAAACUUCUUUCCUGGGAAUUUACUUGGAUGUCAGUCUCCUUAAAUUUGGAUGUGAAGUGCUGGACUCAAAUCUCACUGAAGUUCACAGGAGUCUUUCCACAGAGGUUAACCCAACAUGCACAGAAGGAGACAAAACUAAGUAGUUUUGGGUUAUCAUUAUGUUUAAAGUACUGGUUAAGCUAAAAUGAAUAUAAAAACUGCCCCCAUCGAGCUGGAUUUUAUCUUUACUUCCUGUUUUGUGUCACUGUUAGGAGUUUACUGAAAAUAAAUCAUACUGGACUUGAAUAAACUGUCAGCUUUUAAUAUUUUCCAAAUGCAUGCUAUAAAAAGCUGGCAUAGAAGUUGUAGCAGAAAUGCUAAGUCAGGGCUUGAAGCAGGAAUUGAGCACCUGGUGGGAAGGCAGGGCCAACAGGGGGAGCUCAGGUGCAUGCAAUGACCCUGAGUGUUUGAAAGGGGUCCUCCCAACAUCCAUGCCUUCCCAGACCACGUUUAACUGUUGGCAGUGGAGGUAGGGCUAUCUUGUUGGAUAUCCCUGCAUACCUGAGGACUUCCAAGGAUGCAGUCAGAAGGAGAGUUGCUGUACCAGGGAUCUUUGAACUUGGUAUAUGAGGAAAAGAGACAAGCAUGCUAAACAGCUUGGCUGAUUUCAUGGAGGAAGACAGACAACUGAUGCUGAGGAAACCUGUAUAUCACUUUAUGUAGUUUAACACUACUGAAAAAUCUGUUUGGGAUUUACGUCACUUCAAAUGAAAUCAGCCACUUACAA